AAACGACUCUCGGCAACGGAUAUCUCGGCUCUUGCAUCGAUGAAGAACGUAGCGAAAUGCGAUACUUGGUGUGAAUUGCAGAAUCCCGUGAACCAUCGAGUUUUUGAACGCAAGUUGCGCCCGAGGCCAUUUAGGUUGAGGGCACGUCUGCCUGGGCGUCACACACA
rnacentral:rRNA from 1 species